rnacentral:rRNA from 1 species
GAGGAAGUAAAAGUCGUAACAAGGUUUCCGUAGGUGAACCUGCGGAAGGAUCAUUACAGAGUUCAUGCCCUUACGGGUAGAUCUCCCACCCUUGAAUACUAUACCUUUGUUGCUUUGGCGGGCCGCCUCGGCUACCGGCUUCGGCUGGUAAGUGCCCGCCAGAGGACCCUAAACUCUGAAUGUUAAUGUCGUCUGAGUACUAUAUAAUAGUUAAAACUUUCAACAACGGAUCUCUUGGUUCUGGCAUCGAUGAAGAACGCAGCGAAAUGCGAUAAGUAAUGUGAAUUGCAGAAUUCAGUGAAUCAUCGAAUCUUUGAACGCACAUUGCGCCCCUUGGUAUUCCGAGGGGCAUGCCUGUUCGAGCGUCAUUAUAACCCUCAAGCCUAGCUUGGUGUUGGGGCCUGCUGUUACCGGCAGCCCUUAAAACUAGUGGCGGUGCCACCUGGCUCUAAGCGUAGUAAUACUUCUCGCUAUAGAGUCCCGGUGGAUGCUUGCCAUCAACCCCUAAUUUUCUAUGGUUGACCUCGGAUCAGGUAGGGAUACCCGCUGAACUUAA